ACUCUUCCAAUUGCAGGCUCUCAAGAGAUCCUGCAGCUUUGACAAAAGAGAUCAGCCCAUUGUCUGACACAAAGCAACAUUUACGAAGGCACAUCUGCUUCAGGUUUGUACAGCCCUUUGCCAUUGUUUCAAGACUCACAUCUGUUAUCCCCCGACAAGAAGAAACUGUCAAAGACGACAAUUUCUGCAAACCUCGAGCAUUACCCAUGACC
rnacentral:misc_RNA from 1 species